GACCAGGUAGCUCAAUUGAUUAGAGCAUUGUCCUGAUACAUCAAGAUUGCGGGUUCAAUCCCUGGUCA
rfam:Myotis brandtii contig151906, whole genome shotgun sequence.